AAUCAACGCUGGCGGCGUGCCUCAGACAUGCAAGUCGAACGCUGCUGUUCGCCUUCGGGUGGACAGCGGAGUGGCGCACGGGUGAGUAACACGUAGGUAAUCUACCUUUGGGUGGGGAAUAACAGCCGGAAACGGCUGCUAAUACCGCAUAAUGCAGCGGCAUCACAUGAUGACAGUUGUUAAAGCGAGGGAUCGUAAGACCCCGCGCCUGAAGAGGAGCCUGCGGCAGAUUAGGUAGUUGGUGAGGUAAUGGCUCACCAAGCCUGCGAUCUGUAACCGGCCUGAGAGGGCGGUCGGUCACACUGACACUGACAUACGGGUCAGACUCCUACGGGAGGCAGCAGUCGGG
rnacentral:rRNA from 1 species